rnacentral:rRNA from 1 species
UACGUAGGGUGCGAGCGUUGUCCGGAAUUAUUGGGCGUAAAGAGCUUGUAGGCGGUCUGUCGCGUCUGCUGUGAAAAUCCGGGGCUCAACCCCGGACUUGCAGUGGGUACGGGCAGACUAGAGUGUGGUAGGGGAGACUGGAAUUCCUGGUGUAGCGGUGAAAUGCGCAGAUAUCAGGAGGAACACCGAUGGCGAAGGCAGGUCUCUGGGACCACUACUGACGCUGAGGAGCGAAAGCGUGGGGAGCGAACAGG